rnacentral:tRNA from 1 species
GCCAUCGUAGCUCAAGAUCAAAGCAUGACCCUGAAGCCGUCAAGAUAGACCCUAGACCCGUCUCGAAGGCA